rnacentral:rRNA from 1 species
AGUGAACGCUGGCGGUGGGCCUAACACAUGCAAGUCGAACGGCAGCGCCCUAAGUUCUUGCUCUUACGGGUGGCGAAUGGCGGACGGGUGAGGAAUACAUCGGACUCUACACUUUGGGGGGGGUUAAGGUAAGUAGAGUUACGCUAAGACCGCAUACGACCUUGGGGGGAAAGCAGGGGAUCGUCGCGGCGGUGGGGGUUGGAUGCGCGGCUGACCAGCUAGCUGGUGGGGUAGUGGCGUACCAAGGCUUGCGCGGGUCGCCGGCAUGGGAGGGUGACCGGCCACAUUGGGACUGCGAUACGGCCCAGACUCCUACGUGAGGCAGCAGUGGGGAAUAUUGCACAAUGGGCGGAAGCCUGAUGCAGCAACGCCGCGUGCGGGAUGACGGCCUUCGGGUUGUAAACCGCUUUCGCCUGUGACGAAGCGUGAGUGACGGUAAUGGGUAAAGAAGCACCGGCUAACUACGUG